rnacentral:rRNA from 1 species
GAUGAACGCUAGCGAUAGGCCUAACACAUGCAAGUCGAGGGGCAUCACAUGAAGUAGCAAUACGGAUGGUGGCGACCGGCGAACGGGUGAGUAACACGUGGGCAACCUGCCCCAGACUCUGGGAUAACUCCGGGAAACCGGAGCUAAUACCGGAUAUGACUACUUCGGACAUCCGACGGUAGUGGAAAGUUUUUCGGUCUGGGAUGGGCCCGCGGCCUAUCAGCUAGUUGGUGGGGUAAUGGCCUACCAAGGCGACGACGGGUAGCCGGCCUGAGAGGGCGACCGGCCACACUGGAACUGAGACACGGUCCAGACUCCUACGGGAGGCAGCAGUGAGGAAUAUUGGUCAAUGGACGCAAGUCUGAACCAGCCACGUCGCGUGAAGGAAGACGGCCCUACGGGUUGUAAACUUCUUUUAUACGGGAAUAAAGUGCCCCACGCGUGGGGUUUUGCAUGUACCGUAUGAAUAAGGAUCGGCUAACUCCGUG